GUUUGAUCCUGGCUCAGGACGAACGCUGGCGGCGUGCCUAACACAUGCAAGUCGAACGGAGAUAUUAGAUGAAGCUUGCGAUUCUAGUAUUUUAGUGGCGGACGGGUGAGUAACGCGUGGGUAACCUGCCCAUAAGUGGGGAAUAACAGUUGGAAACGACUGCUAAUACCGCAUAAUCUGAGCGAUCAGAAAAGGUGGCCUCUUAACAAUGCUACUGCUUAUGGAUGGGCCCGCGUCUGAUUAGCUGGUUGGUGGGGUAAAGGCCUACCAAGGCGACGAUCAGUAGCCGGCCUGAGAGGGUGGACGGCCACACUGGGACUGAGACACGGCCCAGACUCCUACGGGAGGCAGCAGUGGGGAAUUUGCGGCCAAUUGGGGGGAAACCCUGACGCAGCGACGCCGCCGUGAGGCGAAGAAGGCCUUCGGGUUGUAAAGCUCUGUUUUAAGGGACGAACGUUCAUGGUAGUAACUGACUAUGAAAUGACGGUACCUUAAGAGGAAGCCCCGGCUAACUACGUGCCAGCAGCCGCGGUAAGACGUAGGGGGCGAGCGUUGUCCGGAAUUACUGGGCGUAAAGAGCACGUAGGCGGGAACUUAAGUCAGGUGUGAAAGACCGGGGCUCAACUCCGGGGUGGCACUUGAAACUGGGUUUCUUGAGGGCAGGAGAGGGAAGCAGAAUUCCUGGUGUAGCGGUGAAAUGCGUAGAAAUCAGGAGGAAUACCAGUGGCGAAGGCGGCUUUCUGGACUGACCCUGACGCUGAGGUGCGAAAGCGUGGGUAGCAAACAGGAUUAGAUACCCUGGUAGUCCACGCUGUAAACGAUGGAUACUAGGUGUAGGAGGUAUCGACCCCUUCUGUGCCGCAGCUAACGCAAUAAGUAUCCCGCCUGGGGAGUACGAUCGCAAGGUUGAAACUCAAAGGAAUUGACGGGGGCCCGCACAAGCGGUGGAGCAUGUGGUUUAAUUCGAUGCAACGCGAAGAACCUUACCAGGUCUUGACAUCCAAAGAAUUCUUACGAAAGUAGGAAGUGCCCUUCGGGAGCUUUGAGAACAGGUGGUGCAUGGUUGUCGUCAGCCUCGUGUCGUGAGAUUGUUGGGUUAAGUCCCGCAACGAGCGCCAACCCUUGCUAUUAGUUGCUAACAGGUAGAGCUGAGCACUCUAAUGGGACUGCCCGUGACAAGCGGGAGGAAGGUGGGGAUGACGUCAAAUCAUCAUGCCCUUUAUGAUCUGGGCUACACACGUGCUACAAUGGAUGGUACAAAGAGAAGCAAAGCCGCGAGGUGGAGCGAAUCUCAAAAAGCCAUUCUCAGUUCGGAUUGGAGUCUGCAACUCGACUCCAUGAAGUCGGAAUCGCUAGUAAUUGCGAACCAGCACGUCGCAGUGAAUGCGUUCCCG
rnacentral:rRNA from 1 species